AUUGAACGCUGGCGGCAGGCUUAACACAUGCAAGUCGAGCGAGCGGCGGACGGGUGAGUAAUGUCUGGGAAACUGCUCUGUGGAGGGGGAUAACUAAUGGAAACGGCAGCUAAUACCGCAUACCAUCAGAUGUGCCCAGGUGGGAUUAGCUAGUAGGUUGGGUAAAGGCUCACCAAGGCGACGAUCCCUAGCUGGUCUGAGAGGAUGACCAGCCACACUGGAACUGAGACACGGGCCAGACUCCUACGGGAGGCAGCAGUGGGGAAUAUUGGACAAUGGGCGCAAGCCUGAUGCAGCCAUGCCGCGUGUGUGAAGAAGGCCUUCGGGUUGUAAAGCACUUUAAGCGAGGAAGCGUUACUCACAGAAGAAGCACCGGCUAACUCCGUGCCAGCAGCCGCGGUAAUAC
rnacentral:rRNA from 1 species